ensembl:lncRNA
AGGGGCAUCAAUAUCACUUAUAAGUAACUAUACAAUUAUUAUUGCAACAGGCCUUGGUUAACGCCCUGUUCAUGACCCACUAAUUAACAGCUUAACUGUUUAUCAAUUAAACAUUUUAUUAAAACGCAGAGGGACCAAUUACAAGACUCGGCAGGGACCAACCUCGUUAGGAGAACAUUAUCGUUAGAGAAUUAUACAGAUGGGGCACAAGCUCUGAACUGUAAAUAGAUAACGCAACAUAAUUGAGACACAAAUAUGGCAGGUGAUGAUUCAAUGAUGACGGAUGCUUAUGUAAGAGGAGGGAUGACUGUGAUAUUUCAAUGCAUUUAAUGACAGUUCAACCAAAUUACAAGCUGACAACAUGUCUUACAUUGCUGAGAAGUUGCUCACUUGUCUAUGGGUUCCCUCAUUUAAACCGUAGAGCAUUUUGUCUUCUGAAAUUAAACAUGAACGGGAGAGAAGUUACACAUUAAUUUGGACUGAGUAAUCAUAUUUCUCCAUGCCACUGUUAAGUGCUUUGACAUUUAAAGACACUGAGUGCUUUAUUCUCCUAAGAUGAUAUUUAAAUCACCCCCCAUUGUUUGCUAAUAUUUCAAUCCUUGCCACUCCUCAUCAAUGUCCAAGCAUGUUCUAGAUUACAGGGAAGUGGCAUAUCUUACUAGUGAUAAAAGGAUACGAAAUUAUUACAUCACUCAGCAGUUCAAUGCAAGUGAGACGAAUGCAGUCAAAAGGCAAAACAUCCGUACUAAACCAGUGGUGUCCUUCAUCCCAUGUCAAAGCACACACUACCUAAAUCAGGAAAUGGCAACCCGUAACAUUAUCAAAACCGGGAGAUUUUGGCCUGGAGCUCCCUCAGACUAUCCAGGCUGGCCUCAGGGCCGUCCUCCGAGGUAACGAACCCCGGAUAGGUCUCGCUGAACUGGGCCUGAGGGGGGCCAGUGGUGCUGGAGCCCCCGUCGACCUGAUCAGAGGACUGUGGGGAAAGGAGGGGUAUUAACUUCGCGUGCGCGUAGUCAAUCUCGAAACCCUCAAAAAUAAGCCCCACCCCCCAGGCUCCUAGCCCCUCCUCCAGAAUCUGUGCUACCCUCCGGGUCGCCAGUACCAAGCUCUUAUAAUCCCCCUCUUCCAGUCUGAAUAUGUCCGAGGUCAGCGGUCGACGGGGGACGAGUACGGUGAGGCCGGGGGAGUUGGGGAAGGGGGUGAGAAAGGCGACGUGUCCCUCAUCCUCCCACACCCUCCACUGCUGCUCCUCGCCGCGGACGAUCCGGGAGAAGAGGCAGGGGUGGGUCGGGUCUUCCCCCAGGAAGGUGUGGUUCACCGGGGCAUCAGGGAAGGGAAGCUGGGAUCGGAUCUCGGCCUGGAUCUCCUGGAGUGACGUGUCCGUCCAGCGGGGGCCGCUUUUGGAGGUCACAAAGCCAGGGUCAUGGUGGGUGUAGUGUUCUUCUCCCGCCAAGUGGGGGCGCCAUUCGUUGUCCAGGCCAUGUAGAGGCAGCACCCGGACCUGUCAAUC